UCCUGCCGCUCUGGCUCUGUGCCCACAGUUUCGACACUGUCUCUCCACACCCUAGACUGUCUGGCCUGAAAAUUAUACUCAAAGCUGCUCCCCACGACCUGAUUUGCCUGUUAGAAGUCCGUGUUUCAGCUAACUACCCCAGGCAUGGCGCUGUGUACACGCACCGUGCAGUCUACUUCCUGCUCCUACGGACCUUACACAGCGCUGCACUGUGUGGCCGGCUGAACGUGAUUCAUCACUGAUGGGACGGCUUUGAAAAUGUGGAGAGGAGAGGAGGGAACACGUGUGCUGGCGGCUGCAAGGGUCCCAGCAGUCUCGGUGAAGAAGCCCCCAGAGCAGUGAGCGUGAGGCGGACCCGGGAAGCGCGUCCCCCGGCCGGACCCCAGCCCGGCUCCGCUCGGGAGAGCCUCGGACCUGCCGUCCUCUACCCAGUGAGAAGGUCACGAUUGAGAAAACGGGCCUGCGUAGCCCGACAGCUAACUUCAGCGGGACGGGGCUGCCCCAGACUUACUGGAAAAUCUCACACAACGCUUCGAGGAGGGCAGAGCUGGUUUCGCCACGAGACAGAGCGAGGAUGACAGGAGGGCCCCUCGGCGCCUGUCCCACCAGAUCGGGAGCCCAGAGGACGCCGCGUGGCCGGGCCCGGGCCCCCUGGCCCACACGAGGCGGGAGCCCCUGGGCGCACCCCGGUUCCCGAAGCGUGUCUGGGAGCAGCUACCCGAAUCCUUCCGGCGGGUUCUAAUGAGCCUGAGAAGCUCAAAGCGACAAAAAGAGCAAAGGGCCCCGACUUAAGGUAGUUCCAUUUAAUUAUACACACAAGACAGGGAACUGUGUUUUAUGCAAAUAUGUUUUAUCUUCCAGAAGGCGAUCUGAAAGCCACACGUCCUAUCUGUGUUUGGAACCUCCCGUUGCCUGAUUUCGGUGUUACAUAACCCACAAUAAGCCCUGAAGCUUCCUUCCUUGAGCCUGUAGAGACACCGCUGCCUCAGUUCCCCAUGGGGCUCGCUACAAAAAGAAAACGGUUUGAAACGUAAGAAGGAAUGUAUUUGCUGCAGAGACAGCCCCUCUGGCAUGGAAUCCUGUCUAGAUGUUAGAAACCUGUGUGAGGCCACCAUGUCCUCGGCGCUCGGACGGGCGCUGCGGACCGGCCGCCCUGGAGCAGCAGCGUGGCAGGGCCCUGUGCGUCUACCGUAACUGCCCACUGAGGCUGAUCGUCGGCAGCCUUGGAUUUUAAGGCUCGAGAACUGAUUGUGGAUCGUGCCUGCUCAAAGGGUCUUCUGGUAAAA